rnacentral:tRNA from 1 species
GCGGGAUUGGUGGUAUUGGCAGUACACACGAGGCUUAAGACUUCGUAGGCCUCUAGGCCUUGAGGGUUCGAAUCCCUCAUCCCGCA